UGUGUAGGCGGAAUCAUAAGCGUCUUGUGAAAUCCCCCGGCUUAACCGGGGAAUUGCUUGACGAACUGUGAUUCUUGAGGCAAGUAGGGGUGCAUGGAACUCUUGGUGGAGCGGUGGAAUGCGUAGAUAUCAAGAGGAACGCCAGUGGUGAAGACGGUGCACUGGGCUUGUCCUGACGCUGAGACACGAAAGCGUGGGGAGCGAACG
rnacentral:rRNA from 1 species